GACGGAGGGCGCAAGCGUUGUUCGGAAUUACUGGGCGUAAAGCGCGGGCAGGCGGUCUGUUAAGUCGUUUGUGAAAAUCCGGGGCUCAACCCCGGAAAUGCGUACGAUACUGGCAGGCUGGAGACUGGUAGAGGCUAGCGGAAUUCCUGGUGUAGCGGUGGAAUGCGUAGAUAUUAGGAAGAACACCAGUGGCGAAGGCGGCUCACUGGUCCGGUACUGACGCUGAGGUGCGAAAGCGUGGGGAGCAAACAGG
rnacentral:rRNA from 1 species